rnacentral:misc_RNA from 1 species
GAAAUGCGAUAAGUAAUGUGAAUUGCAGAAUUCAGUGAAUCAUCGAAUCUUUGAACGCACCUUGCGCUCCUUGGUAUUCCGAGGAGCAUGCCUGUUUGAGUGUCAUGAUAAUCUCAAAUCAACAUUUUAGUUAAUCUAAUUUGUUGACUUGGACUUGGAGGUUGUGCUGAUUUUAUUAUUGGCUCCUCUUAAAUGCAUUAGCUGGAUUACUAUCAGUAAUAGUCCAUGGUGUUGUAAUCUCGGCGCUGUGACUUAACUAAUACAAUCUGCUUCUAAAAUAGUUGCCUUUGGCAAUAUUUGCAAACUUGACCUCAAAUCAGGUAGGAAUACCCGCUGAACUUAA